rnacentral:rRNA from 1 species
UACGAAGGGGGGCUAGCGUUGCUCGGAAUCACUGGGCGUAAAGCGCACGUAGGCGGAUCGUUAAGUCAGGGGUGAAAUCCUGGAGCUCAACUCCAGAACUGCCUUUGAUACUGGCGAUCUUGAGUUCGGGAGAGGUGAGUGGAACUGCGAGUGUAGAGGUGAAAUUCGUAGAUAUUCGCAAGAACACCAGUGGCGAAGGCGGCUCACUGGCCCGAUACUGACGCUGAGGUGCGAAAGCGUGGGGAGCAAACAGGG